GACGAACCGUCCAAACGUUAUUCGGAAUCACUGGGCUUAAAGGGUGCGUAGGCGGCGCGGAAAGUUGGGUGUGAAAUCCCUCGGCUCAACCGAGGAACUGCGCCCAAAACUACCGUGCUCGAGGGAGAUAGAGGUGAGCGGAACUUAGGGUGGAGCGGUGAAAUGCGUUGAUAUCCUAAGGAACACCGGUGGCGAAAGCGGCUCACUGGAUCUCUUCUGACGCUGAGGCACGAAAGCUAGGGUAGCGAACGGG
rnacentral:rRNA from 1 species